GCCAAGAACAGGCCUGUGCCUUCUGGAAGACUGGUUCACCGUGACCCCGCCUGAUCUGUCCGUGUUCUGAGUACAGCUCUAUCCUUGGAGGGCUGGGAUUGCCCCAGAGGCUCGGCCCAGGCCAGGAAAAUUCUCCAGUGCCUGACGUUGCAAGGUGAGGAAGGGGCUGCCUCCGAAGACAGGGAGGACGGCGCCAUGGAAGAUCUGAAAGAAAUCAUCACCCUGGCCUUCGUGAGGGAGAACUCACAGAAGGGGCUGCAGAGUGGCCAGCCACAAGGCAAGAAGAGGAAGAGGAAAAAGAGGUUAGGAUUGAAAGGUGGGGAAUGGGGUCCACGUGGGUUAGAACAGGCGGAGCCUGGGGGUGGGGGCUUGGCUGAUAACCAGAGGGAGAGGAGAAACUGGGUGUUUCUCAGAAACACACACUGGCACAGCCGCACUACUUUCUUCUCUUUUAUUUGUUGGCUUUUUUGUUUGUUUGAGACAGGGUCACCCUAUGUAGUUCAGCCUGGCCUUGAACUCACAGUGACCCUCCUGCUUCAGUCUCGGAGUGCUGGAAUCAUAGGUGUGUACCACCACGCCCAGCCUAGAAUGCCUUUUUUAAAAUAAGUGUGGGAGCCAGGCAUGGGGGACACUCCUGUAAUCCCAGUACUUGGGAGGCUGAAGCAGUAGGAUCAACAUGAGUUUGAGACCAGUCUGGACUGCAUAGUGAGUUCAAGGCCAACCUGAACUACAAAGUGAGGCUCUGUCUCAAACAAAACAAAACAUAAGUGUAGGGGCUGAGAUACAGCUCAGUGGUAGAGUUCUUGUCUAGCAUGCACAAGGCCCUGGGUUUAAUCCCUUCCUCUCAAAAAAAAAAAAAAAAAAAAAGUGCAGAGCGAUUUCCUUGCAUAAGAAAGUGCUUAUUUGUCCCCGGAAUUGGGUACCCUUUAAAUAGAAUGGAACCUUGCUGACUCGGAUUCAACUGCAGCUUGUGCGGUCCAGUUCUUGUUUAAUAUUUUGCCAAGUGGAGAGCAUGUCUGCUUUCUAACACAGAGCUUCCUUUCCGGGCAGAAGGAGAGAGACAAGUAUUCUGGCCAAAAGGAUUUUUAAUCCCCCCCCCCGCCACCCCAGGCCACUGGAGUAAAAGGACAGAGGCAAUAGUCCUACUGCCAUGCUUGGUUCCUGCGCCUCAGGCAGGGUGGCCAUCUUCCAUCUGAGUCGGGUGUCUGCCACUCUGUCCCCUGCUGGGUCUCCAUCCUCAGCACUGGACAGGGGGGCUUCUGGGAGCCAGUGUGUCUGUUGCUGUCGGGCUGCUGUCGCUUUUUUCUCUCUUCCAGAUGAUUGGUGAUCAAUCUAUCCAGCUGCCGUGCGCAGGGCCGCCCAGCAGUACGGCCUUCGAGAGGGCGGUGAAAAUGACGAUUGGACUCUGUACUGGACGGACUACUCCGUGUCUCUGGAGCGGGUGAUGGAAAUGAAGAGUUACCAGAAAAUCAAUCACUUCCCUGGGAUGAGCUGAAAUCUGCCGCAAGGACCUGCUGGCCAGGAACAUGAGCCGCAUGCUGAAGAUGUUCCCAAAAGACUUCCACUUCUUCCCGAGGACCUGGUGUCUUCCUGCCGAGUGGGUCCCGGCUCCCCCACCCUGCCCAGACCCCUCUAAGGCCUCCCUGGCCACUUCCCCUUCCCCCAGCAGUCGCCAGCCUCCCUUCUGUGGAGGAAGAGAAGGGACCAAGAGUGUCCAAGGCCGAAAACAGGGCUCUGCCUAUGCAUAGGCGACAAUCAGGGGCUGGGUGCCUUGGCUCCUGCACCCGGAGUUGGGACGGGGUUUGUUCUGACCCUGAAACCUGUUGGUUUUGAACUCAUUCCAACCAUUUACCUGUGCAGUUCCUGAAUUUUCAAGAACCCCGAGUUCCUCUGGUGGUAGUGAGCACCCUGGGUUGGAGCAGGACAGUUGUCCCCUGGCUUCUUUCCCUGCAGUGCCAUGGGUGGCAGUCAGCCCUUCUUGAGUCUCAUUUUUCCCCAUUUCAAAACUGGACUUCUAGCCAGGCAUGGUGGCACAUGCCUGUGAUCCCUGGACUUGGGAGGCUGAGGCAGGAGGAUUGCCAUGAGUUUUAGGACAGCCUGGACUACAUAGUGAGACCCUGUCUUAAAAAAAAAAAAAAGAAAGAAAGAAAGAGGAAGUAUAGCAAGACAGAGACACAGAAUCCAUUAAUGUGAUGUCUUCAUUGUUCCAAACAUACUUUCUUUAAAAGUUCACCCAAAGACAUUUGCCCUCCUCUACUCGGCUGAGGUGGAGGUGUCCCAGGUGAAGCACGAAGUCCCGACAGGGGUGAGGGACCGACUGAUCCAAGAUGGCACUGCCUCUAGGGCUUGAGUCAGGUCCAGAGCUCCGGUCUGCGGCCCAGAAAGCCAGACUACCUGGGUCACAGCCAGCCUCGUGGGGCAUGUGGUGUGGAUCGUGCUUUGCUCCUGUGGUGUCACGCAACUAACCUCCGAAGCAAGAAGGGUUUCACAAUGCGCAGGGACGGCGCGAGGCUUAGGAGGUCCAGUCCUGGCGGAGGGUUACCCGCUGGGCGUGCAGUGUUUCCUGGCUCUGAAUCCGGGUCCUGACUCCCUGCUGUCUCUCCCACUGCUGGGUGCGACGCAAUAGUCUUCCCUCCCCUCCCAGGUUCCCCCGGCUAAAGGUCUGUCGUCUUCUCCUCCCUGCCCCGCUUGGCUGGGGAGGCCUGCAGACCUACAGCAGGUUCUCAAAAAACAAGGCGUACAUUUGCAAGCCCGGACUCGGGCUGCCAAGGGCGAGGGAUAUUCAUCACCCGGACUGUGAGGGAAAUCAAGCCUGGGGAGGAUAUGAUCUGCCAGCUCUAUAUUUCAAAGGUACUUCCUCAUUGCCAUUAUUUAUUUAUUGCCCACGUCUGCCUCGGGCUCAGGCCGCCCUGGGCGUAAUGGGAAAGCCUGGCCAUGGAGGAAGCGGAGGGGAUGCAGCCUAUCUUCCACCGGACCGAGCCUGGCGGCCAGGGCUGCUGUCUCCGGCCUGGGCCCGCCAGGGUGUCUGUCACCCUUGCAUUCUGGUCCAAUGGCCUGGCCUCAGCAGGCCGGCCCCUUUGCUGGUACAGAGGAAAGCUGGGUGACACCUUGGUGAGUGGAGGCCCCACCUUUGGGAGAGGAAGCCAGCCUGGAAACCAGCUUCCUUCCCUUCCUGGGUCAGAGGUCACAGUAGCAGUACAGCCCGCUGCAGGGAGGGAGGGAACUUUCCAGAACCUUCUGGAGGAGAAGGAAGCAUUGGGCUCCCUGGGACACACGGCUGGGAGAGCAUUACAGGGAGAACUGCCGCAGAACCACGCCCCUGGGGUGGCCCUAGAGGACAGCCAUGUGAGCUUUGCAUAGAAGGACUUUUAAUGUCACUUUGUUUCAUGGCCAAGAUGUCUCAUGGAGGUGGUGACUUGUGCCAUUCCGUAGAUCAGGAGGCUCGGUGUGGC
ensembl:lncRNA